CAACCUACUGAAAUGAAAAUUCACCGAGUUAUAGUAUUGGCAUUAACAUCAAUAUCGAAAUUGCUCAUAUUGUCAAGAUAAAAUAUCCUGUUGCUGAGGCAUAUGGAGGCCCAGCUACCUACUCACCUAAACUUGUUAACAAAUUUACUUUUAGUAGGUAAAAUCUUAGCAUCAUGGUGGAAUAUAAUAAGAUUGUAAUUGGUCCUGACUAUUUGAUGCACGAUUUUGCAAAACACAUCCGUUUUGAUGCACAAUUAGACAUUGUCAGGAAGUCGCACAAAGAUAUCUUAUCAAAUUUUUAUAACACAUCCGUUUCUCUGAUACGUGUGAGUCACUAAGAUACAAAACUAGUAAGAUAUGGCAUUCAAGGGAGACCCCAAAAGCAUCUUAGCAUCACAUCCAGCUUGCUAAUCGAGGGGGAGGCAGCGUAGUAACUCAUCAAGAACUUCAAAGCUUAAAUGAAAAAAAAUGCCAGUAAGGUAAGCAAAUGGAAUACUCAUCGCUAGCUUCCCCGGGUAGGAAAUGGAGAACUAAUAGCCAGCUUCCCCGGGUUGCACAAGCAACAAUAUGGUGUUUAUGAAGGAGACAUCCCAAGGAAACUCUCGUUUUCGUCAUUUCAACCAUCUUAAUCAAUUUCAUGAAGUAGUACACUUACAUCUGCAACCAACCAAAUACUUCUUUUCUAUUAUUUAAUUUACUUAUAUAAUCUUAAUUUUUCCAGAAACAGCAUCUCUACUUCCACGAGAUAGGGGUAACGUCUACGUACACUCUACUUCCCCAGACCCCACUUGUGGGAUUAUACUGACAACUGGCAAGAACUUGGGAUAAAAUUCCUCCUAACAGCAACAUGUUCUCUUUCUUUUUAUAUUUAUUUAUUUGGAUUCUCCCACAUUAUCUAUAAGAACAAUUAUUACAACAAUAAGCCUUACUACUUUUUUUUUAAAUAACUUCCAAUAAUUACUAGAUACUUUUUUAAAAACUCUACUCUCACUCCCCCAACAAAGAAAUAGAAGAAGAAAAAAACUUUAAAAACUGCAUUUGCAUAAAAAAGCAAAGUUGAUUCCUUUUCUACGAAUAGAAAAGCUCCCUUUUAGCCAUAGAUUUUUGAAGUUGAAAUUCAAAAAAUUGAGUCUCUGAAGAUGUAACCAACAACAACAUACCCAACGUAGUCCCACAAAGUAGGGUAUGAGAGGUUAGAGUGUACAAAGACCGUAUCUGAGAGGUAGAGAGGCUAUUUUCCAUGGACCAUCAUCUCUAGUUUUUGAAGUUGUAGUAGAAAAUUCAUUUUUACUUAGAAAAAUUUGAACUUUUUGUGA